UACGGAGGGGGGCUAGCGUUGUUCGGAAUUACUGGGCGUAAAGCGCGCGUAGGCGGCUUUGUAAGUUAGAGGUGAAAGCCCGGAGCUCAACUCCGGAAUUGCCUUUAAGACUGCAUCGCUAGAAUCAUGGAGAGGUGAGUGGAAUUCCGAGUGUAGAGGUGAAAUUCGUAGAUAUUCGGAAGAACACCAGUGGCGAAGGCGACUCACUGGACAUGUAUUGACGCUGAGGUGCGAAAGCGUGGGGGGGCAAACAGG
rnacentral:rRNA from 1 species